GACGAACGCUGGCGGCGUGCUUAACACAUGCAAGUCGAACGGAAAGGCCCUGCUUUUGUGGGGUGCUCGAGUGGCGAACGGGUGAGUAACACGUGAGUAACCUGCCCUUGACUUUGGGAUAACUUCAGGAAACUGGGGCUAAUACCGUAUAGCAGCUCCCGCUGCAUGGUGGGGGUUGGAAAGUUUCGGCGGUUGGGGAUGGACUCGCGGCUUAUCAGCUUGUUGGUGGGGUAGUGGCUUACCAAGGCUUUGACGGGUAGCCGGCCUGAGAGGGUGACCGGCCACAUUGGGACUGAGAUACGGCCCAGACUCCUACGGGAGGCAGCAGUGGGGAAUAUUGCACAAUGGGCGGAAGCCUGAUGCAGCAACGCCGCGUGCGGGAUGACGGCCUUCGGGUUGUAAACCGCUUUCGCCUGUGACGAAGCGUGAGUGACGGUAAUGGGUAAAGAAGCACCGGCUAACUACGUG
rnacentral:rRNA from 1 species